UCAUUUUUCCCCUUUUUUCUCAUUUUUCAUAUUCUGCAAUCUAUUCCUAGUUGGGAUAUGCCUGGGAAGCAAGAAUUUUGAAACAAAAACCAGAAAAAUCAAGUUUCCACAAUGCUUUGUGAGAUGCUUGACAGAAAUCAAGCCUUGCACUUGAUUGCAACAAACAAGGAUACCCACAGCGAGCAGGCAGACAGGCACAAAGGAUAACCUUUAGCCCUCUUUGGGAGGAAAAAGUUUCCACUGAUUUCAUGCUUACACGAAACUAAAGAAAAGAAAUGUACAGAGGAUAACAGAAAAAGGGUUUACAUUACACUGACAAAUUGAGAAAGAGAAGCGAAGACGAAAAGGAUCCCAGAAACAGAUGCCUUCCGAAUGGAUGAUUUGCAUAAAAGUUUAACGGAAAUCUAAUGAGCGCAAAUGUCGUCUCGAUGAAUAUUUAAUUAGAGAGUGUGUUUGAGCAGGAAGAAAAAUGGAAAAACUUUUUGCUUAGCGAUCCUUGAAAAGGAUAAGGCGUCAGUCCAUCCGCCUAAAGAACAACCCCUCCAGACGAUCCGAUCCUGUUGUGGUUAGCUGGCUGUCCCGAUGCGACCCAUCCUAGUCGUCUUCUAGUCGUGUUGAUCUAGUUUCUUCUUCAGGCACGCAACGCGUUUACCACAUUGCAAUGUUCCCUCCUCUAUAACUAUCACAAUUUCAAAUUUCCACAUUUGGGUCUUAACGGACAUUUACCUUGACUUUUUGAGCAAGUAACUACAUACUGAAGGGAAACCCACCCCUGGCGGGAGACGACGACGACGUCGACAACGCCGACGGUUCGAUCGACUACUCAAGGUGUGCGCUUAAGCGCAACAUCGUCGUCGUCCCCUUUUAUUAUUUAUUUUUUUGAGUCCUGUGCCGCAUAUGCUCAACAUAUUGGCAAAGAACCCUGGAAUUCUUGAGGAGAAUGGGUGGACAGAGGAGGGGGGCAAAUAUUGUGUUUUUUUUUAUAAAAAUGACAUUUGUUUUGCAAGGGAACUCACUCUCUCUACUGGCUGAAAAAGCAUUUGCAAAAACAACCCAGACUCGGUAAAAAAAAAAACAUGAGAAAAAGAAAAAAAACAACAACCAACAUUUCUGCAAGUUCAUUGCACAAAGUUCCUGAAAAUCUUUUGCACCAAUACAGCUGCUUCUGCUUGUCUGGAUCUCAAUUCUCAUUCUCUUCCUUUCUAUUGCUUUCUGCUUCUCUGUAGGAGAGAGAACAAAACUAAAAACAGAAGUCCAUUGUGUUCUUGACUUUGAUUGCAGCUACUUGAGAAAAAGGACCUUCCCGCUGAUGCUGCUGCUGUUGCAGCCAGCCAGCCACUGGUGAUUCUUCUAUUGCUAAAUGAGCCUUUUCUUUGGCAUUAAGUAGCAUUUAUAUUUUCGGGCUCAUCUUUGCUCAUUGUUUGCACCAAAGAUCACACGUUCCUCUCGUCCUCUACGUGACUAACGGCUUAUUUGGUUAGAGCUCAACCCAGGCAAGAUAAAAGAAAGAUCUCCGAAUGGCUAUCAAGUCAAAUAUUCACUUCAAUAUCAAUUAUUUGUACGCUCAAAAGAACAAAGUCUAACUAAACCAAAUAGAUGGGUUGAUAAGUGAUCUUUGAAAAAUAUUUCAUAUAUGAAUAUGAGAAUUCAAUGAGCCUUCUACUUUGAUUGUAUAUCCUUCUUUAAUCAAAAUUG